GACGAACGCUGGCGGCGUGCUUAACACAUGCAAGUCGAACGGAAAGGCCCUGCUUUUGUGGGGUGCUCGAGUGGCGAACGGGUGAGUAACACGUGAGUAACCUGCCCUUGACUUUGGGAUAACUUCAGGAAACUGGGGCUAAUACCGGAUAGGAGCUCCUGCUGCAUGGUGGGGGUUGGAAAGUUUCGGCGGUUGGGGAUGGACUCGCGGCUUAUCAGCUUGUUGGUGGGGUAGUGGCUUACCAAGGCUUUGACGGGUAGCCGGCCUGAGAGGGUGAACGGGCACAUUGGGGCUGGGGUACGGCCCAGACUCCUACGGGGGGCAACAGGGGGGAAUUUUGCACAAUGGGGCGGAGCCUGAUGCAGCAACGCCGCGUGCGGGAUGACGGCCUUCGGGUUGUAAACCGCUUUCGCCUGUGACGAAGCGUGAGUGACGGUAAUGGGUAAAGAAGCACCGGCUAACUACGUG
rnacentral:rRNA from 1 species